AAAUUCAAUUGGUAGAGGAGCAUUCUUAAAGGGACGAAGCAGUACCGUAAGGAGCUGUGGACUUUUAAGAAGAGAGAAUGCCGGAAUGAGUAGCGAGAGGAAGGUGGGAAUCCUUCCGGCCGAAUAUCUAAGGUUUCCAGAGUAAAGCUGAUCUGCUCUGGGUAAGUCGGGGCCUAAGGCGAGGUCGAAAGACGUAGUCGAUGGAUAACAGGUUGAAAUUCCUGUACUAUCCUGUAACAGAACUGUGGGGACACAGGCAGAGAGCGUGAGCCGGGAAUGGAAAGACCGGUACAAGCGAGGUAAGAGUUCAGUUGGCAAAUCCGCUGAACAAUCUGAAGACGUGAUGUGGACUGAAAAUAAGUAGGGAAGCACGUGAGCUGACUGUCAAGAAAAGCCGCUAUUGUUUGCAGGAUACCCGUACCGUAAACCGACACAGGUGGAUGAGGAGAGAAUCCUAAGGCCGACGGGAGAAGCAUUGUUAAGGAACUCGGCAAAAUGACUCCGUAACUUCGGGAGAAGGAGUGCCAGUAAGAUGGCCGCAGAGAAUUGGCCCAAGCAACUGUUUAGCAAAAACACAGGUCUAUGCAAAACCGAAAGGUGAGGUAUAUGGGCUGACGCCUGCCCGGUGCUGGAAGGUUAAGGGGAGAGGUUAGCGCAAGCGAAGCUUUGAACUUAAGCCCCAGUAAACGGCGGCCGUAACUAUAACGGUCCUAAGGUAGCGAAAUUCCUUGUCGGGUAAGUUCCGACCCGCACGAAAGGCGUAAUGAUUUGGGCACUGUCUCAACAAUGCACCCGGUGAAAUUGAAAUACCAGUGAAGAUGCUGGUUACCUGCGCCAGGACGGAAAGACCCCAUGGAGCUUUACUCCAGCUUGAUACUGGGAUUCGGUAUUGCAUGUACAGGAUAGGUGGGAGGCUAGGAAAUGGUAACGCCAGUUGCCAUGGAGCCGAUGUUGGGAUACCACCCUUGCAGUACUGGGUUUCUAACCAGCAGCCGUGAUCCGGCUGGGGGACAAUGUCAGGUGGGGAGUUUGACUGGGGCGGUCGCCUCCGAAAGGGUAUCGGAGGCGCUCAAAGGUUCCCUCAGAAUGGUUGGAAACCAUUCGAAGAGUGCAAAGGCAGAAGGGAGCUUGACUGCGACACCGACGGGUGGAGCAGGUACGAAAGUAGGACUUAGUGAUCCGGUGGUAUAAAGUGGGAUUGCCAUCGCUCAACGGAUAAAAGCUACCCUGGGGAUAACAGGCUUAUCACUCCCAAGAGUUCACAUCGACGGAGUGGUUUGGCACCUCGAUGUCGGCUCAUCGCAUCCUGGGGCUGAAGUAGGUCCCAAGGGCUGGGCUGUUCGCCCAUUAAAGCGGUACGCGAGCUGGGUUCAGAACGUCGUGAGACAGUUCGGUCCCUAUCCGGCGUGGGCGUAAGAUAUUUGAGGGGAGCUGUCCUUAGUACGAGAGGACCGGGAUGGACUGGCUGCUGGUGUAUCUGUUGUCUUACCAAAGGCAUAGCAGAGUAGCCAAGCCGGGAAGGGAUAAACGCUGAAGGCAUCUAAGCGUGAAGCCCCCCUCAAGAUGAGAUAUCUCAUAACGUCAAGUUAGUAAGACCCCUUGAAGACGACGAGGUAGAUAGGGCAGAGGUGGAAGUGUGGUAACACAUGGAGCUGACUGUUACUAAUAGGUCGAGGGCAUAACCG
rnacentral:rRNA from 1 species